GUCCACGCCCUAAACGAUGCUGACUAGUUGUUCGGGAUUUACAUCCUGAGUAACGUAGCUAACGCGUGAAGUCAGCCGCCUGGGGAGUACGGUCGCAAGAUUAAACUCAAAGGAAUUGACGGUGACCCCGCACAAGCGGUGGAUGAUGUGGAUUAAUUCGAUGCAACGCGAAAAACCUUACCUACCCUUGACAUGUGACUAACGAAGUAGAGAUACAUUAGGUGCUCGUAAGAGAAAGUCAACACAGGUGCUGCAUGGCUGUCGU
rnacentral:rRNA from 1 species